rnacentral:rRNA from 1 species
ACUUUUGACGGUGGAUCUCUUGGCUCACGCGUCGAUGAAGAACGCAGCCAGCUGCGAUAAGUAGUGUGAAUUGCAGAAUUCAGUGAAUCAUCGAAUCUUUGAACGCAAAUGGCGCUCUUGGGUUCUCCCAGGAGCAUGUCUGUCUGAGUGUCGGAUAU